rnacentral:rRNA from 1 species
CGUGGCGGCCCGACUAUACAUCGCAAGUCGAGCGGACAGAUGGGAGCUUGCUCCCUGAUGUUAGCGGCGGACGGGUGAGUAACACGUGGGUAACCUGCCUGUAAGACUGGGAUAACUCCGGGAAACCGGGGCUAAUACCGGAUGGUUGUUUGAACCGCAUGGUUCAAACAUAAAAGGUGGCUUCGGCUACCACUUACAGAUGGACCCGCGGCGCAUUAGCUAGUUGGUGAGGUAACGGCUCACCAAGGCAACGAUGCGUAGCCGACCUGAGAGGGUGAUCGGCCACACUGGGACUGAGACACGGCCCAGACUCCUACGGGAGGCAGCAGUAGGGAAUCUUCCGCAAUGGACGAAAGUCUGACGGAGCAACGCCGCGUGAGUGAUGAAGGUUUUCGGAUCGUAAAGCUCUGUUGUUAGGGAAGAACAAGUACCGUUCGAAUAGGGCGGUACCUUGACGGUACCUAACCAGAAAGCCACGGCUAACUACGUGCCAGCAGCCGCGGUAAUACGUAGGUGGCAAGCGUUGUCCGGAAUUAUUGGGCGUAAAGGGCUCGCAGGCGGUUUCUUAAGUCUGAUGUGAAAGCCCCCGGCUCAACCGGGGAGGGUCAUUGGAAACUGGGGAACUUGAGUGCAGAAGAGGAGAGUGGAAUUCCACGUGUAGCGGUGAAAUGCGUAGAGAUGUGGAGGAACACCAGUGGCGAAGGCGACUCUCUGGUCUGUAACUGACGCUGAGGAGCGAAAGCGUGGGGAGCGAACAGGAUUAGAUACCCUGGUAGUCCACGCCGUAAACGAUGAGUGCU